CGUUAUUGGGGUACGCGACUCUUAAUCCGUAGGUCGAGUGUUCGAGUCACUCACGCCCCACCA
rnacentral:tRNA from 1 species